GACGAACGCUGGUGGCGUGCUUAACACAUGCAAGUCGAACGGUGAAGCGCCUUCCUUUUUGGUGGGUGUGGAUGAGUGGCGAACGGGUGAGUAACACGUGAGUAACCUGCCCCCUUCUUCUGGAUAACCGCAUGAAAGUGUGGCUAAUACGGGAUAUUCUGGGUCUGUCGCAUGAUGGGUCUGGGAAAGAUAUUGUUUCGGUGGGGGAUGGGCUCGCGGCCUAUCAGCUUGUUGGUGGGGUGAUGGCCUACCAAGGCGGUGACGGGUAGCCGGCCUGAGAGGGUGGACGGUCACACUAGGACUGAGACACGGACCAGACUCCUACGGGAGGCAGCAGUGGGGAAUAUUGCACAAUGGGCGCAAGCCUGAUGCAGCGACGCCGCGUGAGGGAUGGAGGCCUUCGGGUUGUGAACCUCUUUCGCCAGUGAAGCAGGCCUGCCUCGUUUGUGGGUGGGUUGACGGUAGCUGGAUAAGAAGCGCCGGCUAACUACGUG
rnacentral:rRNA from 1 species